UACGGAGGGUGCAAGCGUUAUCCGGAUUUACUGGGCUUAAAGGGUGCGUAGGUGGUUCUGUAAGUCAGUGGUGAAAUCUCCGGGCUUAACCCGGAAACUGCCAUUGAUACUAUAGAUCUUGAAUAUCCUGGAGGUGAGCGGAAUAUGUCAUGUAGCGGUGAAAUGCUUAGAUAUGACAUAGAACACCAAUUGCGAAGGCAGCUCACUACGGGAUCAUUGACACUGAGGCACGAAAGCGUGGGGAUCAAACAGG
rnacentral:rRNA from 1 species